GUUUGGGCGACGGACUUCAAAUCCGGCUCUAGCGUAA
rnacentral:tRNA from 1 species